UAUAAUAAAGUAUAUUUAUGAAAAAUGAAAUAUUUAAAUGAAUAUUUCUGAAUAAUGGUUUUAUGUGUAAAAAGAGAUAAGUAAAGAAAAAAUUACAUGAAUAAAAUAAGUUAUGAACUUAUUAAAUAAGAAAUUAUUUGGGGAUUAGAAUUAAUUAAUUAAAUUAAAUUAAUAUUGUAUAGAGUUAAUUCUAGAGUUAGGAUUUUAUUAAUUAAGAGAAUUAAUAUUUUGAUCCUAACUAGAUUCGACAAGUUGUCGAGCUAUCGAGUCGGAGGACCAAGGGAAUUAACGGAGUUGUUUAAAGGAGCAUUGACGGAGUAAUACCGUAGUUAAACGGUUUCUGAAAGCUGGUCCGAUUUUGAUGAAGGCUUCCGAACGUUUAUUUCUCGGAAGUCUGCUUUGAUAAAAGACUGUAAAGAAGGUUUUAAGUUCUAGUUGUCCGCAGUAGAUUAGUAUAGUCUUAUUGUAAUCAAAUGUUUUAAAGCGCAUUUAAACUCUGA